UUGAACGCUGGCGGCAUGCCUAACACAUGCAAGUCGAACGGUAACGCGGAGAGCUUGCUCUCUGGCGACGAGUGGCGGACGGGUGAGGUAAUACUUAGGAAUCUGCCCAGUAGUGGGGGACAACAUUCGGAAACGGAUGCUAAUACCGCAUACGCACUACGGUGGAAAGUGGGGGACCUUCGGGCCUCACGCUAUUGGAUGAGCCUAAGUCGGAUUAGCUUGUUGGUGAGGUAAUAGCUCACCAAGGCGACGAUCCGUAGCUGGUCUGAGAGGACGAUCAGCCACACUGGGACUGAGACACGGCCCAGACUCCUACGGGAGGCAGCAGUGGGGAAUAUUGGACAAUGGGCGCAAGCCUGAUCCAGCAAUGCCGCGUGUGUGAAGAAGGCCUGCGGGUUGUAAAGCACUUUCAGUAGAGAAGAAAAGCCUAGGGUUAAUACCCCUGAGUCUUGACGUAACCUACAGAAGAAGCACCGGCUAACUCCGUG
rnacentral:rRNA from 1 species